rnacentral:rRNA from 1 species
AUUGAACGCUGGCGGCAUGCCUUACACAUGCAAGUCGAACGGCAGCACGGGAGCAAUCCUGGUGGCGAGUGGCGAACGGGUGAGUAAUACAUCGGAACGUGCCCAAUAGUGGGGGAUAGCCCGGCGAAAGCCGGAUUAAUACCGCAUACGACCUACGGGUGAAAGCGGGGGAUCGCAAGACCUCGCGCUACUGGAGCGGCCGAUGUCGGAUUAGCUAGUUGGGUGGGGAAAGGCCUACCAAGGCUACGAUCCGUAGCUGGUCUGAGAGGACGACCAGCCACAC